GAUGAACGCUAGCUACAGGCUUAACACAUGCAAGUCGAGGGGCAGCAUGGUCUUAGCUUGCUAAGGCCGAUGGCGACCGGCGCACGGGUGAGUAACACGUAUCCAACCUGCCGUCUACUCUUGGACAGCCUUCUGAAAGGAAGAUUAAUACAAGAUGGCAUCAUGAGUCCGCAUGUUCACAUGAUUAAAGGUAUUCCGGUAGACGAUGGGGAUGCGUUCCAUUAGAUAGUAGGCGGAGUAACGGCCCACCUAGUCUUCGAUGGAUAGGGGUUCUGAGAGGAAGGUCCCCCACAUUGGAACUGAGACACGGUCCAAACUCUUACGGGAGGCAGCAGUGAGGAAUAUUGGUCAAUGGGCGAGAGCCUGAACCAGCCAAGUAGCGUGAAGGAUGACUGCCCUAUGGGUUGUAAACUUCUUUUAUAAAGGAAUAAAGUCGGGUAUGGAUACCCGUUUGCAUGUACUUUAUGAAUAAGGAUCGGCUAACUCCGUGCCAGCAGCCGCGGUAAUACGGAGGAUCCGAGCGUUAUCCGGAUUUAUUGGGUUUAAAGGGAGCGUAGAUGGAUGUUUAAGUCAGUUGUGAAAGUUUGCGGCUCAACCGUAAAAUUGCAGUUGAUACUGGAUAUCUUGAGUGCAGUUGAGGCAGGCGGAAUUCGUGAUGUAGCGGUGAAAUGCUUAGAUAUCACGAAGAACUCCGAUUGCGAAGGCAGCCUGCUAAGCUGCAACUGACAUUGAGGCUCGAAAGUGUGGGUAUCAAACAGGAUUAGAUACCCUGGUAGUCCACACGGUAAACGAUGAAUACUCGCUGUUUGCGAUAUACAGCAAGCGGCCAAGCGAAAGCGUUAAGUAUUCCACCUGGGGAGUACGCCGGCAACGGUGAAACUCAAAGGAAUUGACGGGGGCCCGCACAAGCGGAGGAACAUGUGGUUUAAUUCGAUGAUACGCGAGGAACCUUACCCGGGCUUAAAUUGCAGAUGAAUUACGGUGAAAGCCGUAAGCCGCAAGGCAUCUGUGAAGGUGCUGCAUGGUUGUCGUCAGCUCGUGCCGUGAGGUGUCGGCUUAAGUGCCAUAACGAGCGCAACCCUUGUUGUCAGUUACUAACAGGUUCCGCUGAGGACUCUGACAAGACUGCCAUCGUAAGAUGUGAGGAAGGUGGGGAUGACGUCAAAUCAGCACGGCCCUUACGUCCGGGGCUACACACGUGUUACAAUGGGGGGGUACAGAGGGCCGCUACCACGCGAGUGGAUGCCAAUCCCAAAAACCUCUCUCAGUUCGGACUGGAGUCUGCAACCCGACUCCACGAAGCUGGAUUCGCUAGUAAUCGCGCAUCAGCCACGGCGCGGUGAAUACGUUCCCGGGCCUUGUACACACCGCCCGUCAAGCCAUGGGAGCCGGGGGUACCUGAAGUGCGUAACCGCGAGGAGCGCCCUAGGGUAAAACUGGUGACUGGGGCUAAGU
rnacentral:rRNA from 1 species